rnacentral:misc_RNA from 1 species
GAAAUGCGAUAAUUAAUGUGAAUUGCAGAAUUCAGUGAAUCAUCGAGUCUUUGAACGCACAUUGCGCCCCCUGGUAUUCCGGGGGGCAUGCCUGUCCGAGCGUCAUUGCUGCCCUCAAGCACGGCUUGUGUGUUGGGCUUCCGUCCCUGGCAACGGGGACGGGCCCAAAAGGCAGUGGCGGCACCAUGUCUGGUCCUCGAGCGUAUGGGGCUUUGUCACCCGCUCCCGUAGGUCCAGCUGGCAGCUAGCCUCGCAACCAAUCUUUUUAACCAGGUUGACCUCGUAUCAGGUAGGGACACCCGCUGAACUUAAGC